rnacentral:rRNA from 1 species
UACGAAGGGGGCUAGCGUUGCUCGGAAUCACUGGGCGUAAAGCGCACGUAGGCGGCUUUCUAAGUCAGGGGUGAAAUCCUGGAGCUCAACUCCAGAACUGCCUUUGAUACUGGGAAGCUCGAGUCCGGAAGAGGUGAGUGGAACUCCGAGUGUAGAGGUGAAAUUCGUAGAUAUCAGGAAGAACACCCGUGGCGAAGGCGGCUCUCUGGGACGGUACUGACGCUGAGACGCGAAAGCGUGGGGAGCGAACAGG